GACACAUUCACAACAGAUGACCGCAUGGGAGAAGCUGAAAUUGAUAUCCAACCGUUGGUCUCAGCGGCCAAAGCAUACGAGCACUCCUCCCUAAAUGAAUCUAUGCAGCUUGGGAAAUGGCUGGCGAAUGACGACAACACCUUGGUGAAGGACAGUAUCAUCUCCCUUGUUGAUGGCAGGGUAAAGCAGGAUAUCACGCUUAAGCUACAGAAUGUCGAGCGUGGUGUGUUAGAGAUCGAACUUGAAUGUGUUCCCCUUAGCCAAUAAUCAUCAAAAGGGGAAAUGAUGGGGAAUGGG
rnacentral:misc_RNA from 1 species